rnacentral:tRNA from 1 species
CGCGGCGUGGCGCUGGUAGAGCGCGGUGGCCUCCAGCGCCAUCGGGCUGUCGACGAAGAUCGGCAGUUCGAUCGGGAUCGCGCCGCGG